UACGUAGGGCCCAAGCGUUGUUCGGAUUUACUGGGCGUAAAGGGCGCGUAGGCGGCAAUUCAAGUCAUCUGUGAAAUCUCCGGGCUUAACCCGGAACGGUCAGAUGAUACUGCUUUGCUAGAGUGCGGAAGGGGCAAUCGGAAUUCUCGGUGUAGCGGUGAAAUGCGUAGAUAUCGAGAGGAACACCUGAGGUGAAGACGGGUUGCUGGGCCGACACUGACGCUGACAGCGCGAAAGCCAGGGGAGCAAACGGG
rnacentral:rRNA from 1 species